rnacentral:misc_RNA from 1 species
UUGAAUAAGUUUGGUCUAGACUGUUGCUGGCUCCUUGGGGCAUGUGCACGUUCAUUCCAUCUUUAUAACCCACCUGUGCACUUUGUGUAGAUCUGAAGGACUCUCGAGAUAAACUCGGUCUGAGAAAAUGCUGUGCAAAUAUAUGCCUGCUUUUCUUGCUUCUCAGGUCUAUGUUUAAAUAAAUACUCCACAUAAAGUAUCAGAAUAUCAUAGGUUAGGCAGCAUCAUGCCUGUAAACAUUUAUA